GGCAGCCGCAGUCGGAGCAUCCCCGGCCGCGGUGGAGCCGGUCCGGACCCGCAUCCCGGGCUCCUGUACCGGCACCCCCGGGGGUGUUCCCGAUGGGAGUGGGGCCGUGCCCGGCCCCCUGGAGCGGGCUGUGGAUUUGGAGAAGGAGGAUAUGGAGCAGGAGGAGGAAGAGGAGGAUGGUGCCGCUCCCGCGCCGGGGGACCCGCAUUCCCGGGGCUGUUCCGGCGGGACGCGGCUCGGAGGUGGAUCUGGAGGCGGAGGUGGAGGUUUUGGCAUCUGCCGCUUCAGGAACGACAAAUUCCAUCGGCCACAACCGCCCUGGGACUGUCCUUGUGCCAGAAGUGAGGAGGCCAGAGCCUGACCACGUGCAGGAUUGGGACUUCUCCCCCUCUACCCAUGGUCCCGAGCCAGGAGGAUUUGCCUCUGGAUGGUUCCUCUCCCCUGGGAUCUCUGACAUCAUAAACCCUCCUGGACUGCUGUGGGUUUUGGAUGCUCCCUUCUGUUUGGAGCUGGGAAUGGCACAGCUGGGAGGCUGCAGCCCCUGCUCCUCUCCAGCUCCCGUGGAUUACUGCUUUUGGCAUCACCGUGGUGGAACUGGCUUUGACGUGUGACGUCUCCCAAUGGACAGAUGUGGAAAAGCAGCAGUCACAGCCCCUCUUUUUCUGGGCUGCUCUGGGCAUCGUGGCUCUGGAGGAGGAAGGAGUCCACGCACACGUGUAGGACAAAUCCUGCUUUUAGGUGAGUCAGGAAUAUAUAUUUUUCUCUCUUUUUUUUUUAUUUUAUUUUUUUAAAGCACUUUCCUGUGGGACUUCUGUAAAAAUUAUAUUUUCCCUCUCUUGAGAAAACGAUGCCAAAUGGAGUGACCUGCUGUAAGGGAAUGUGGGAGCAGACAGGCUUGUUUCUGACAGCUGAGCUGCCUUCCCCUGCCUGUUCCCAUCAGAGCAAGAACAUUUUAGUACCAUCUGAGCCUGAAAUCCCUAAUAAGAGUUUUCUUCCUGGAGUUUUAUUGCUGAGUAGUGAACAAAGGGGUUAAAGGCUGCAGCCCCUCAGCAGGUUUUCCCUUCUUUCCCUGGCAAGGGGAGCUCUGCUGCUUUCCCAGACUUUUAAGCCUGUGGAAGUCAGUGGUGGUGGCUCAUGGGAGCCUUGUCAGGCUCACUGGGAACAAUGUGUGGCUUGUCCUGAGGGUCCCGUGGGGCUCCUGGUGGAUGCAGCGAUGAGCUGAGAGGCUCCCUUUGGAGAGGAGGGUGGUGUAAACCUCCUUGUGCUGGAAAAUCCCCUUUCCUGCUAGAAAGUGAUGCCAGGGCUUCGGAUUUUGAGGGGACUUGUGGUGGUGUCGACAUCCUGGUGUGAUGUUGGGAGAAGUGCCUGAGGGGCUGUUGGGAGCAGCUGGGAUGUGUGAGGGUGAAACGUGGGGGGUUCUGCUUGGCUGGGGAAGGAGGUGAUGAUCCCUGGGCCAGGGCAGGUGGAUUUGCCCUCACCAGCCCUCUGUGCUGCCCCUUGCCCAGUGGUGCUGUCCUGCCUUUCCCCUGGGUCUGGCCUGCAGUGACACUUGUCUUCUCUUGUCCCUGUGUGCUUUGGGGAGGACAUUCCCCUCCAGUCCCUGUUCCCUGUGAAGGCUCUUAUGACCCUUUGCUCUGAACUGGGGAGGGUCCAGCUGGGUUUUGGCACGUGGAGCAGAACUGACCCUUUAAACUGAGGAGGUGCUGUGGUUUGCCCUGCCCAGGCUGCUUUCUCAGGUGUGGGGGUUUUUUUGUAGUGUUCUUUCCUUUGUGAGAAUGAGACUCAGAAAUGUGAAUAAAGGGAAAAUUGCUGCUGGCA
rnacentral:lncRNA from 1 species